ACAUACCACUUGUUGCCUCGGCGGAUCAGCCCGCUCCCGGUAAAACGGGACGGCCCGCCAGAGGACCCCUAAACUCUGUUUCUAUAUGUAACUUCUGAGUAAAACCAUAAAUAAAUCAAAACUUUCAACAACGGAUCUCUUGGUUCUGGCAUCGAUGAAGAACGCAGCAAAAUGCGAUAAGUAAUGUGAAUUGCAGAAUUCAGUGAAUCAUCGAAUCUUUGAACGCACAUUGCGCCCGCCAGUAUUCUGGCGGGCAUGCCUGUUCGAGCGUCAUUUCAACCCUCAAGCACAGCUUGGUGUUGGGACUCGCGUUAAUUCGCGUUCCUCAAAUUGAUUGGCGGUCACGUCGAGCUUCCAUAGCGUAGUAGUAAAACCCUCGUUACUGGUAAUCGUCGCGGCCACGCCGUUAAACCCCAACUUCUGAAUGUUGACCUCGGAUCAGGUAGGAAUACCCGCUGAACUUAAGCA
rnacentral:rRNA from 1 species